GCCUUCCUGGUGUAAUGGUAGCACACUUGGCUUGUAUUCGAGAGGUGCAAGUUCGAGUCCCGGAGAGGCA
rnacentral:tRNA from 1 species